GGUGUCCUACGGGGCGCAGCAGUGAGGAAUAUUGGUCAAUGGGCGCGAGCCUGAACCAGCCAAGUCGCGUGAGGGAAGACGGUCCUAUGGAUUGUAAACCUCUUUUGUCGGGGAGCAAAAGACGCCACGCGUGGCGUUCCGAGAGUACCCGAAGAAAAAGCAUCGGCUGACUCCGUGCCAGCAGCCGCGGUGAUACGGAGGAUGCUAGCGUUAUCCGGAUUUAUUGGGUUUAAAGGGUGCGCAGGCGGAAGAUCAAGUCAGCGGUAAAAUUGAGAGGCUCAACCUCUUCGAGCCGUUGAAACUGG
rnacentral:rRNA from 1 species